UGUGAUCCAGUGAUUGACAGGAGAGGAAAGACUGGCCAACUUUGUUAGCUCUUCGUUAGGAUAUGCUCGAGAGGACAAAAGAUUUUGCACCUCGUUAUUGUUGGACCUCUGUGUGGAAACAGCGAACGGGACGUCAUAAGUGUGGUGCAUUGCUGUCCUCCUGCCCUUGCUGGCCGCGCUGACAGUGUGAUGUAGCCUCAGUUCUUUGAGAGACAAGACAAAACAGCAGGGAAUAAUUUCAUGUCUGCAAGCCGCUGGAUGAUCAGUUUGGAGGGCAAGGUAUUUUAUGAGCCUGAGCAGAUGCAUGACUUUGGCAGCACCCUUGCUGGCUUCUUUGCGUCAUACUACGUUUUCAACCUUGAGUAUCAGGAGUCAGCGUCCAUCACACUGGAGAUGAUACAGAGGUUCUUUGUGAGGAUCAAUCCAGACAUGGGAACAAAAUGCCCUGCAAAACUUGGUACAAGCCGCAAGACAGGUCAUGUCGUAAAGAGGAAGGUUACAAGCAUCAGCCCUCGGAUCACCACCUUCCUCCAGCGGCUCUCUGGAGGACUUCCAACUAGGUGGUGACGAAGACUACGCUGAACCCGACCAUCCUGGUAACAGAAAUCUAAAUCCCAUGUCACAUUCUAUUUCCUGGGACCCACUGAUAAUUACUACAUUUUGUAAAUGAUUUUUGUUUUACAAUUGUAAUAGUUUAUUUAAUGUUCAUGCUGGUGGGUUUGUCCUGUUUUUAGUGGAAUGAAAAACUGUUUUUCUUAAAAAAAAUCAGACACAGAAAGUUGAAGGACUGUGUAGUUUUCAUGGACGCUUCUAUUUAUUUUGGUUAUUGACAUUGUUUUUAUU